rnacentral:lncRNA from 1 species
AAUGGAGGCACAAUUAAGGGGGAAUCAAUUAAUGGGGAAUCAAUCAGUGGGGGCACAAUUAAUGGGGAAUCAAUUAAUGGGCAAUCAAUUAAUGGGGGCCAAACAAUGGGGAACCUAUCAGCCAAUGGGGGCACAAUUAACGGGGAAUCAAUUAACGGGGAAUCGAUUAAUGGGGAAUCAAUCAAUCAAUGGGGUCGCAAUCAAUCAAUGGGGUCACAGCCAAUCAAUGGGGCCGCAAUCAAUGGGGAAUCAAUCAAUGGGGCCACAACCAAUCAAUGGGGUCGCAGUCAAUCAAUGGGGUCACAGUCAACCAAUGGGGCCACAGUCAAUCAAUGGGGCCGCAAUCAAUGGGGCCGCAAUCAAUGGGGUCACAACCAAUCAAUGGGGUCACAAUCAAUGGGGACGCAAUCAAUGGGGAAUCAAUCAAUGGGGUCGCAAUCAAUGGGGAAUCAAUCAAUGGGGUCGCAAUCAAUCAAUGGGGUCGCAAUCAAUGGGGCCACAACCAAUCAAUGGGGCCGCAAUCAAUGGGGUCGCAGUCAAUGGGGCCACAACCAAUCAAUGGGGUCACAGUCAACCAAUGGGGCCGCAACCAUCAAUGGGGCCACAACCAAUCAAUGGGGUCGCAAUCAAUGGGGCCGCAAUCAAUGGGGUCACAACCAAUCAAUGGGGUCACAAUCAAUGGGGUCGCAAUCAAUGGGGUCGCAAUCAAUGGGGCCGCAAUCAAUGGGGUCACAACCAAUCAAUGGGGCCACAAUCAAUGGGGCCACAAUCAAUGGGGCCGCAAUCAAUGGGGUCGCAACCAAUCAAUGGGGCCGCAACCAAUCAAUGGGGCCACAAUCAAUGGGGAAUCAA